UACGUAGGGUCCAAGCGUUAUCCGGAAUCACUGGGCGUAAAGCGUGCGUAGGUGGAUUGUUAAGUGCGGUGCGAAAUCCUGUGGCUCAACCAUAUGGACUGUAUCGCAUACUGGCAAUCUAGAGGACAUGAGAGGCAAGUGGAAUUACUGGUGUAGCAGUGAAAUGCGUAGAGAUCAGGAGGAACACCGAUGGCGAAGGCAGAUCUCUGGGCCGUAACUGACGCUGAGGAGCGAAAGCAUGGGGAGCGAACAGG
rnacentral:rRNA from 1 species